UUGGAGGGCAAGUCUGGUGCCAGCAGCCGCGGUAAUUCCAGCUCCAAUAGCGUAUAUUAAAGUUGUUGCAGUUAAAAAGCUCGUAGUUGAACUUCGGGGUUUACUUAUUGGUCAGGCUUAAUUGUCUGUACUGGUGAGAUGAAUCUCUACCUUCUGAGGAACUUUCAUGUCAUUUAUUUGGUGUGAUGGGAAAUCAGGACUGUUACUUUGAAAAAAUUAGAGUGUUUAAAGCAGGCUAACGUCUGAAUACAUUAGCAUGGAAUAAUGAAAUAGGACGGACUGAUUCUAUUUCGUUGGUUUCUAGGAUCACCGUAAUGAUUAAUAGGGAUAGUUGGGGGCAUUAGUAUUCAAUUGUCAGAGGUGAAAUUCUUGGAUUUAUUGAAGACUAACUACUGCGAAAGCAUUUGCCAAGGAUGUUUUCAUUAAUCAAGAACGAAAGUUAGGGGAUCGAAGACGAUCAGAUACCGUCGUAGUCUUAACCAUAAACUAUGCCGACUAGGGAUCGGACGAAGUUAAUUUUAUAAUGACGCGUUCGGCGCCUUACGGGAAAC
rnacentral:rRNA from 1 species